rnacentral:pre_miRNA from 1 species
UAGCAGCACGUAAAUAUUGGAGUUAAGGCUCUCUGUGAUACCUCCAGUAUUGAUCGUGCUGCUGAA